UACGUAGGUGUCAAGCGUUGUCCGGAUUUAUUGGGCGUAAAGCGCCCGCAGGCGGCUUGCCAAGUCUGACGUGAAAUCUCCCGGCUCAACUGGGAGGGUGCAUCGGAAACUGGCAGGCUUGAGGCAGGGAGAGGGAUGUGGAAUUCCCAGUGUAGCGGUGAAAUGCGUAGAGAUUGGGAAGAACACCCGUGGCGAAAGCGCUCUGCUGGACUGCAACUGACAUUGAGGGACGAAAGCUAGGGGAGCGAAUGGG
rnacentral:rRNA from 1 species